GAACUCGCUGUGAAGAUGCAGUGUACCCGCGGCAAGACGGAAAGACCCCGUGAACCUUUACUAUAGCUUGACACUGAACAUUGAGCCUUGAUGUGUAGGAUAGGUGGGAGGCUUAGAAGUGUGGACGCCAGUCUGCAUGGAGCCGACCUUGAAAUACCACCCUUUAAUGUUUGAUGUUCUAACGUUGACCCGUAAUCCGGGUUGCGGACAGUGUCUGGUGGGUAGUUUGACUGGGGCGGUCUCCUCCUAAAGAGUAACGGAGGAGCACGAAGGUUGGCUAAUCCUGGUCGGACAUCAGGAGGUUAGUGCAAUGGCAUAAGCCAGCUUGACUGCGAGCGUGACGGCGCGAGCAGGUGCGAAAGCAGGUCAUAGUGAUCCGGUGGUUCUGAAUGGAAGGGCCAUCGCUCAACGGAUAAAAGGUACUCCGGGGAUAACAGGCUGAUACCGCCCAAGAGUUCAUAUCGACGGCGGUGUUUGGCACCUCGAUGUCGGCUCAUCACAUCCUGGGGCUGAAGUAGGUCCCAAGGGUAUGGCUGUUCGCCAUUUAAAGUGGUACGCGAGCUGGGUUUAGAACGUCGUGAGACAGUUCGGUCCCUAUCUGCCGUGGGCGCUGGAGAACUGAGGGGGGCUGCUCCUAGUACGAGAGGACCGGAGUGGACGCAUCACUGGUGUUCGGGUUGUCAUGCCAAUGGCACUGCCCGGUAGCUAAAUGCGGAAGAGAUAAGUGCUGAAAGCAUCUAAGCACGAAACUUGCC
rnacentral:rRNA from 1 species